rnacentral:rRNA from 1 species
CCUAGGGAGGCUGCAGUGGGGAAUAUUGGACAAUUGGGGGAACCCUGAUCCAGCCAUGCCGCGUGUGUGAAGAAGGCCCUCGGGUUGUAAAGCACUUUCAGUGAGGAAGAACGCCUGGUGGUUAAUACCCAUCAGGAAAGACAUCACUCACAGAAGAAGCACCGGCUAACUCCGUGCCAGCAGCCGCGGUAAUACGGAGGGUGCGAGCGUUAAUCGGAAUUACUGGGCGUAAAGCGCGCGUAGGUGGCUUGAUAAGCCGGUUGUGAAAGCCCCGGGCUCAACCUGGGAACGGCAUCCGGAACUGUCAAGCUAGAGUGCAGGAGAGGAAGGUAGAAUUCCCGGUGUAGCGGUGAAAUGCGUAGAGAUCGGGAGGAAUACCAGUGGCGAAGGCGGCCUUCUGGACUGACACUGACACUGAGGUGCGAAAGCGUGGGUAGCAAACAGGAUUAGAUACCCCUGUAGUC